rnacentral:tRNA from 4 species
GGGGGUAUAGCUCAGUUGGGAGAGCGCUUCGCUGGCAGUGAAGAGGUCCUCGGUUCGAUCCCGGGUACCUCCACCA